rnacentral:snRNA from 1 species
GCUUCCUAGGUGAUAUAUCUCAA